UCUUAUGUACAUGCCUACAAUAUUAAUGCACCGGAUCCCAUCAAAACUCUGAAUUAAGCGUGCUUGGGCUAUAGUAGUAUUGGGACGGGUGACCUCUUGAGAAGUCCUAGAGUUUUGCAUGCC
rnacentral:rRNA from 1 species